GAUGAACGCUGGCGGCGUGCCUAAUACAUGCAAGUCGAGCGAAUGGAUUGAGAGCUUGCUCUUAUGAAGUUAGCGGCGGACGGGUGAGUAACACGUGGGUAACCUGCCCAUAAGACUGGGAUAACUCCGGGAAACCGGGGCUAAUACCGGAUAACAUUUUGAACCGCAUGGUUCGAAAUUGAAAGGCGGCUUCGGCUGUCACUUAUGGAUGGACCCGCGUCGCAUUAGCUAGUUGGUGAGGUAACGGCUCACCAAGGCAACGAUGCGUAGCCGACCUGAGAGGGUGAUCGGCCACACUGGGACUGAGACACGGCCCAGACUCCUACGGGAGGCAGCAGUAGGGAAUCUUCCGCAAUGGACGAAAGUCUGACGGAGCAACGCCGCGUGAGUGACGAAGGCUUUCGGGUCGUAAAACUCUGUUGUUAGGGAAGAACAAGUGCUAGUUGAAUAAGCUGGCACCUUGACGGUACCUAACCAGAAAGCCACGGCUAACUACGUGCCAGCAGCCGCUAUAA
rnacentral:rRNA from 1 species